rnacentral:misc_RNA from 1 species
GAAAUGCGAUAAGUAGUGUGAAUUGCAGAAUUCAGUGAAUCAUCGAAUCUUUGAACGCACAUUGCGCCCUUCGGUAUUCCGUUGGGCAUGCCUGUUCGAGCGUCAUUUAAACCUUCAAGCUCUGCUUGGUGUUGGGUGUUUGUUCCGCCUUAGCGCGUGGACUCGCCUCAAAUUCAUUGGCAGCCGGUAUGUUGGCUUCAUGCGCAGCACAUUGCGUCCUGAUUUCAGCGUAACUCCUUCCAUUAAGCCUCUUUUUUACUUUGACCUCGGAUCAGGUAGGGAUACCCGCUGAACUUAA